GACGGACAGUGCGAGCGUUAUUCGGAUUGAUUGGGCGUAAAGGGUAUGUAGGUGGCCUUUAAAAACAUAUUCUGAAAUGCUGGGGUGAUAACCUUAGAAGAAGUUAUGUAGUUUGUUAGGCUUGAGUUAAUUUGGGGUUGGAGUAUUUCCUAGUGUAAUAGUAGAAUGUAGCAAUAUUAGGAGGAACACCAGUGGUGGAGACGUCUUUCCAAGAUUAACUGACGCUGAGGUACGGAAGCAUAGGGCGCAAACAGG
rnacentral:rRNA from 1 species